rnacentral:rRNA from 1 species
AUUGAACGCUGGCGGAAUGCUUUACACAUGCAAGUCGAACGGCAGCACGGGGCAACCUGGUGGCGAGUGGCGAACGGGUGAGUAAUACAUCGGAACGUGCCCAAUCGUGGGGGAUAACGUAGCGAAAGUUACGCUAAUACCGCAUACGAUCUACGGAUGAAAGCGGGGGAUCGCAAGACCUCGCGCGAAUGGAGCGGCCGAUGUCAGAUUAGGUAGUUGGGGGGGUAAAGGCUCACAAAGCAGACGAUCUGUAGCUGGUCUGGGAGGACUACCAGCCACAAUGGGACUGAGAGACGGCCCAAACUUCUACGGGAGGCAGCAGUGGGGAAUUUUGGACAAUGGGCGCCAGUCUGAUCCAGCCAUUCCGCGUGCAGGAUGAAGGCCUUCGGGUUGUAAAGCUCUGUCAGGAGGGACGAAGCCACUCAGGUUAAUAGCCGAGAGGGUGACGGUACCUCCAGAGGAAGCCCCGGCUAACUACGUGCCAGCCGCCGCUGUAACAC